CGCAAGCCUGACGGAGCAACGCCGCGUGUGGGAAGAAGGCUCCUGGGCUGUCAACCACUUUUCUCAGGGAAGAAGCCCUGACGGUACCUGAGGAAUCAGCCUCGGCAAACUCCGUGCCAGCGGCCGCGGUAAUACGGAGGAGGCAAGCGUUAUCCGGAAUUAUUGGGCGUAAAGCGUCCGCAGGGGGCACAUCGAGUCUGCUGUUAAAGGCUGGAGCUUAACUCCGGUAGAGCAGUGGAAACUGGUGUGCUAGAGGGCGACAGGGGUAGAGGGAAUCCCCAGUGUAGCGGUGAAAUGCGUAGAGAUUGGGAAGAACACCGGUGGCGAAAGCGCUCUACUGGGUCGCACCUGACCCUCAGGGACGAAAGCUAAAGUAGCG
rnacentral:rRNA from 1 species